AUUCUAGUAUACUAUAGUACAUAUACGCAGAACGUAUUGUGUUGACCUACUUCUUUGUAAUCGAAUUUAUAUGGCUAUCAAUCAUAAAGUUACCUUGUCAUAAUAUUUAGUCAACUUGAACAUUGAGAGAAAACUCUUUUAGCUGUUUGAAAUUGAAAUGAGAAGAUUUAGGAUCAGUCAAAAUAAAUAUGGUAAGUAAAACCAUUUGAUACUAUUUAUUCCAGGUGAAUCAUACCAUUUUUCAUACUCAGGAUAAUACCUAGUUUAUAAAUAUACAAAAUCAAUAUUAGCUGGAACUGAUUUUUUUCAUUAAAGUAACACAUGUUUUAUCUUUUACAGAAUUACUAAGCAUUCUUUUAGUUUUUCAUUGUUUCUCCGUUGAUCAAGGUAAGACUUAUCUGUGCCUUAAUUUUGGGUGAAGACGCUUAGUUAUGCCUUGUUUAUCACACAGUCCUUACAGUCACAUACUCAAACUGUAGCGAAUUAUAAUUGUGCACAUUUUGACGACGCUAUCCAAAAAACGUUCAUUUAAACAAAUGAUUUAAUAUGAAAUACUUACAUGUGACGUUAACGACUAUUAUAAUAAAAAAUGUUAAUUUCCUGAUUUAUAACUGAUAUUGCUAUGAAUGACAAUGUUCUGCCUUUACCUAUAGUUAACUGAUAUUGCUAUAAAUGACAAUGUUCUGCCUUUACCUAUAGUAAGCCCGUUGAUGUGUUUGAGUUGCCAUCAGUCCAUUCAGCCCCGCCAUUGUCACAGCAUAUCUUACUGUGCGGACGAUGAGGUGUGCUUUGUUGAAAGAGUGGAGUCAAACUAUGGCGUUAGAUACAAUACAGGAUGCUUACAGAGACUCGUAAGUUUGUAUUAUUCAGGCCUGCGUUUUACGGAAAGAAUUUGCGACUUACGACCAAAUUCAUAGAUGUUAUGAAAUGAACUAUCAGCUGUUUAAUAUUUUUUACUAAGAUAUCGUUAAAACAUGAAUUAUUUUUUAAUGAAAAAAUUGUUCAUUGAGAAUUGAUCCAUGAGCCUAAUUGGUCGUUCCCUUAUAAAACACAAACACACAAACACAAAUUAAGAUGAUUCUGAUUGAAAGCAGUAAGCAAUUCUAAUACACAUACACAUGAAAUUAUGUAUUUUCCCCACAAUUAAAAAAAAAUGUACACUGUGAUACUGGGUAGGGAGAUAUUUUUAUGAUGAGAAAAUAAACGACAAGUGCCUUUGAUCCAUUAUGACCAAUAAGACAUGAACGUUACAGGUGUGUGAGGAACAGAAUAAAAUCCUACACAUACACAGUAACAGUGACGGUAACCUGGCUCCCCCCACCUGUACGGAGUGCUGCCACACCGACCUGUGUAAUGCCCAGGGGUGCGGCCAACCAGGUAUGACAAAGGGGGCACUCUCUCCCGACAGGUUAGAGGUACUCUUACUUUUCGAAUACUAGUAGAUACUUUUAUCAUAUUUGCUUUCUAUUGUUUUUUUUAGUUUUGCUUUAUUUUAUUAAUAUAUUUUCUUCAAAGCAUAGAGAAUUGUUUAUGAUAAAUGCGUAUACAGUUGGAAGAUUUUUGAGCUGAUUUGGGGCACCUACUUCUAGGUUAUCCUCGAUUUCAAGAAAGAGGGCCAGUUUGCUUGGCAUGUUCACAGCUCUUCGACAAUCAAGAGUGUCGGGAAAUAGCCCACUGCAGGAACUCAGAACUUUGCUUUAUUAAAGAAGAGUCUGAAUUUGGCGACAAAGUAUAUUCAUCUGGAUGUAUGCCUUUUCAGGUAUUCAAAUUUUUUAUUCAUGUAUAACUUUGCUCUAUUUCUUAAACUUUAACUGUAUUUCAUUUCAAACAGCAAUGCAUUAGCAUAGUUUCAAAUACUCACGCCGUGAUGGACCUAUCUAAUAUGCAUCAUUAUACGUACUCAACUACAACAAACCUAAUGACGUCAGCAAGUUCAACAAAACUGCUGACAUCAGCUUACACUAAUCUGCCAACAUCAGCAAGUCCAACCAAAUCCCAAACUCCGACUCCAGGUCACACAACAAACAUACCAACCUCUGUACAUUCUACAGCACUGCCGACGUCAUCAUCAACCUUGUCCACAACAGCAGCCCUGAUGGGUAUACCGGUGGUGGGCAGACGACAGGAGAGACAGAAGCGGUACACUUCCUGUGAACACUGCUGCCGAGGAGAUCUGUGUAAUAAUGCUUGUGUACAUCACAGCAAAAUCACACCAACUCCCCACUUCUUUACGGGCUCGCCGCGGCGCCAAUGACAAGAAACAAAGUUGUCUUUAGAAAUGUUCUAUGGUGAUUGUAUAACAAUAUAUAAAAUAUGAAAGAAAUUC
rnacentral:misc_RNA from 1 species